CAGCCGCCGCGGUAAUACGUAGGUGGCAAGCGUUGUCCGGAAUUACUGGGCGUAAAGGGCUCGCAGGCGGUUUCCUAAGUCUGAUGUGAAAGCCCCCGGCUCAGCCGGGGAGGGUCAUUGGAAACUGGGAAACUUGAGUGCAGAAGAGGAGAGUGGAAUUCCACGUGUAGCGGUGAAAUGCGCAGAGAUGUGGAGGAACACCAGUGGCGAAGGCGACUCUCUGGUCUGUAACUGACGCUGAGGAGCGAAAGCGUGGGGAGCGAACAGGAUUAGAUACCCCUGUAGUCCCUGUCUCUUAUAA
rnacentral:rRNA from 1 species